rnacentral:rRNA from 1 species
GACGAACGCUGGCGGCGUGCCUAAUACAUGCAAGUCGAGCGAACAGUCGAGGUGCUUGCUCCUCCGACGUUAGCGGCGGACGGGUGAGUAACACGUGUAUACCCUUCCUAUAAGACUGGGAUAACAUCGGGAAAUCGGCGCUAACACCGGAUAAUAUAUUGCUCCGAGUGGUUCAAUAGUGAGAGACGGUUGUGCUGUAACUUAUAGAUGGAUCCGCGCCGCAUCAGUUAGUUGUUACGCUAACGGCUUAUCAAGGCUACGAUGCGUAGCCGACCUGAGAGAGUGAACCGCCACACUGGAACGGAGACACAGCCCCGACUCCUACGGUGCGCACCGGUCGAGAAUCUUCCGCAAUGGGCGAGAGCCUGACGGAGCAACGCCGCGUAAGUGCUGAAAAACCUCGGUUCGUAAAGCUCUGAUGUUCGGGAAGUGCAAAUGUGUAUGUAACCGUGCCCGUCGUGACGGUACCUGAUCAAAAAGCCCCGGCUAACUACGUG